AUUGAACGCUGGCGGCAUGCCUUACACAUGCAAGUCGAGCGGCAGCGGGAAAGUAGCUUGCUACUUUUGCCGGCGAGCGGCGGACGGGUGAGUAAUGCCUGGGAAAUUGCCCAGUCGAGGGGGAUAACAGUUGGAAACGACUGCUAAUACCGCAUACGCCCUACGGGGGAAAGCAGGGGACCUUCGGGCCUUGCGCGAUUGGAUAUGCCCAGGUGGGAUUAGCUAGUUGGGGAGGUAAUGGCUCACCAAGGCGCCGAUCCCUGGCUGGUCUGGGAGGAUGAUCAGCAACACUGGACCGGGAACCCGGUCCAGACUCCUACGGGAGUCAGCAGUGGGGAAUAUUGCACAAUGGGGGAAACCCUGAUGCAGCCAUGCCGCGUGUGUGAAGAAGGCCUUCGGGUUGUAAAGCACUUUCAGCGAGGAGGAAAGGUUGAUGCCUAAUACGUAUCAACUGUGACGUUACUCGCAGAAGAAGCACCGGCUAACUCCGUGCCAGCAGCCGCCGUAA
rnacentral:rRNA from 1 species